rnacentral:rRNA from 1 species
UACAGAGGUCCCAAGCGUUGUUCGGAUUCAUUGGGCGUAAAGGGUGCGUAGGCGGCGCGGUAUGUCGUGCGUGAAAUCUCCCGGCUUAACUGGGAGGGGCCGUGCGAAACUGCCGGGCUUGAGGUCAGAAGGGGAAAGUGGAAUUCCGGGUGUAGUGGUGGAAUACGUAGAUAUCCGGAGGAACACCAGCGGCGAAGGCGGCUUUCUGGUCUGAUACUGACGCUGAGGCGCGAAAGCGUGGGGAGCGAUCCGG